ACGGAGCACCCUCUUCUGACACAGGAGUGAAGAAGGACGUGACAUCAAAAUCUCUAACUACAUAAAUAUGAUAGUGACUAUCUCAGAAAAGUGCACUGCCAUGGAUGCCUCAUGACCCUGAAGUAUCAACAGGCAUCUGCAAAUAGAAAUACACAUAUGUGCCAGGCAUAUUUAUUCAGCUGACAGAAGGUCAGACCAUCAGUCUGCCCGGUGAUUUUUUUGGAACCCCUAACCGUGGGGUCAUAAAGUGAAUUAAAAGUUCAACAGAGAACACAGAUGGCAGCUUAUUAGACCUCGAAGUCAUGAGGCUGAGGGCAUCUGGCCCAACUUAGGAGCAAGAAGAAUAAUCAGGACACCCUUCCUGGUGGUACACACCCUUCUAGUAGUUCUGAAAAUGAACAUUUCUCUGAGUCAUACCAGC